UACAGAGGUCCCACGCGUUGUUCGGAUUCACUGGGCGUAAAGGGUGCGUAGGUGGUCGGGUAAGUUUGAUGUGAAAUCUCCGGGCUUAACCCGGACACUGCAUUGGAUACUAUUCGGCUAGAGGGUUGGAGGGGAGACUGGAAUACUUGGUGUAGCAGUGAAAUGCGUAGAUAUCAAGUGGAACACCAGUGGCGAAGGCGAGUCUCUGGACAACUCCUGACACUGAGGCACGAAAGCUAGGGGAGCAAUCAGG
rnacentral:rRNA from 1 species